rnacentral:sRNA from 12 species
AGGCCCCUGUGCGUAUCGAAGGCCCACGUGCCGACGUGGGCUAUCAGUAGGUACGGCGGGGGCCU